UAAUACGAAGGACCCAAGCGUUAUCCGGAUUUAUUGGGUUUAAAGGGUGCGUAGGUGGAUUUGAAAGUCAGUGGUGAAAUCUCUCGGCUUAACUGAGAAACUGCCAUUGAAACUGCAGAUCUUGAGUACAUUUGAGGUGGGCGGAAUGUGUCAUGUAGCGGUGAAAUGCAUAGAUAUGACACAGAACACCAAUUGCGAAGGCAGCUCACUAAACUGUAACUGACACUGAUGCACGAAAGCGUGGGUAGCAAACAGGAUUAGAUACCCUGGUAGUCCACGCCCUAAACUAUGAUCACUCGCUGUUGGCGAUACACUGCCAGUGGCUUAGCGAAAGCGUUAAGUGAUCCACCUGGGGAGUACGACCGCAAGGUUG
rnacentral:rRNA from 1 species